AUUGAACGCUGGCGGCAGGCCUAACACAUGCAAGUCGAACGAGAGGCGGACGGGUGAGUAAUGUAUGGGGAUCUGGCCGAUGGAGGGGGAUAACUACUGGAAACGGUGGCUAAUACCGCAUACUAUAGGAUGAGCCCAUGUGGGAUUAGCUAGUGGGUGGGGUAAAGGCUCACCCAGGCGACGAUCUCUAGCUGGUCUGAGAGGAUGACCAGCCACACUGGGACUGCGACACGGCCCAGACUCCUACGGGAGGCAGCAGUGGGGAAUAUUGCACAAUGGGCGCAAGCCUGAUGCAGCCAUGCCGCGUGUAUGAAGAAGGCCGUAGGGUUGUAAAGUACUUUCAGCGGGGAGGCGUUACCCGCAGAAGAAGCACCGGCUAACUCCGUGCCAGCAGCCGCGGUAAUUC
rnacentral:rRNA from 1 species